rnacentral:rRNA from 1 species
UACGUAGGGGGCAAGCGUUGUCCGGAUUUAUUGGGCGUAAAGAGCGUGUAGGCGGCCUUACAGGUCAGCUGUGAAAACUCGAGGCUCAACCUCGAGACGUCGGUUGAAACCGUAAGGCUAGAGUCCGGAAGAGGAGAGUGGAAUUCCCAGUGUAGCGGUGAAAUGCGCAGAUAUCGGGAAGAACACCCGUGGCGAAGGCGGCUCUCUGGGACGGUACUGACGCUGAGACGCGAAAGCGUGGGGAGCGAACAGG